rnacentral:rRNA from 1 species
AUUGAACGCUGGCGGCAUGCUUUACGCAUGCAAGUCGAACGGUAACAGGUUGAGCUGACGAGUGGCGAACGGGUGAGUAAUGCAUCGGAACGUGCCCGAUCGUGGGGGAUAACGCAGCGAAAGCUGCGCUAAUACCGCAUACGAUCUGAGGAUGAAAGCGGGGGACCGUAAGGCCUCGCGCGAUCGGAGCGGCCGAUGUCAGAUUAGGUAGUUGGUGGGGUAAAGGUUCACCAAGCCAACGAUCUGUAGCUGGUCUGAGAGGACGACCAGCCACACUGGGACUGAGACACGGCCCAGACUCCUACGGGAGGCAGCAGUGGGGAAUUUUGGACAAUGGGCGAAAGCCUGAUCCAGCAAUGCCGCGUGCAGGAAGAAGGCCUUCGGGUUGUAAACUGCUUUUGUACGGAGCGAAAAGGUCUCCUCUAAUACAGGGGGCUCAUGACGGUACCGUAAGAAUAAGCACCGGCUAACUACGUGCCAGCCGCCGCCGUAA